GGCUGGUUUGAUAGUAGUAGGUUAUCAGAACUUACAUUAGUGUCACUAAAGUAGGUAUACAACCCCCACUGCUGAAUUUGGCUUUAG
ensembl:misc_RNA Y_RNA Y RNA